rnacentral:rRNA from 1 species
CCCAGACUCCUACGGGAGGCAGCAGUGGGGAAUAUUGCACAAUGGGGGAAACCCUGAUGCAGCAACGCCGCGUGAGUGAAGAAGUAUUUCGGUAUGUAAAGCUCUAUCAGCAGGGAAGAAGAUGACGGUACCUGAUUAAGAAGCCCCGGCUAACUACGUGCCAGCAGCCGCGGUAAUACGUAGGGGGCAAGCGUUAUCCGGAUUUACUGGGUGUAAAGGGAGCGCAGACGGCAGUGCAAGUCUGGAGUGAAAGCCCGGGGCCCAACCCCGGAACUGCUCUGGAAACUAUGUGACUGGAGUGCAGGAGAGGUGAGCAGAAUUCCUAGUGUAGCGGUGAAAUGCGUAGAUAUUAGGAGGAACACCAGUGGCGAAGGCGGCUCACUGGACUGUAACUGACGUUGAGGCUCGAAAGCGUGGGGAGCAAACAGGAUUAGAUACCCUAGUA